rnacentral:lncRNA from 1 species
UCCACACACCCAACACAUAGUACUUACUCAAACACCACCGAAUACCGAAAACAGACGCACAACGCGACGCAAACACAACCGCAACCAGGCCACCGGGUACGGCGGCCCGGCGACACUACCUUUGUCUUGCCACAGGUUUCCUUUUCUCUUUUUCUGCCGAUUCCGAUGAUACCACUAUAGGGAGGAGUCUUUAGAGCUAAGCAAACUGAAACAGGGAUGAUGAUAGUACGACGACAACAAGAGAAAAAGGAGGAGCUAGGGGAACCUAACUAUCUGACCCGCUUUCCAGCA